GACGAACGCUGGCGGCGUGCUUAACACAUGCAAGUCGAACGGUAAGGCCCUUCGGGGUACACGAGUGGCGAACGGGUGAGUAACACGUGGGUGAUCUGCCCUGCACUUCGGGAUAAGCCUGGGAAACUGGGUCUAAUACCGGAUAGGACUCCGGCCUGCCUGGUCUGGGGUGGAAAGCUUUUGCGGGGUGGGAUGGGCCCGCGGCCUAUCAGCUUGCUGGUGGGGUGAUGGCCUACCAAGGCGACGACGGGUAGCCGGCCUGAGAGGGUGACCGGCCACACUGGGACUGAGAUACGGCCCAGACUCCUACGGGAGGCAGCAGUGGGGAAUAUUGCACAAUGGGCGCAAGCCUGAUGCAGCGACGCCGCGUGAGGGAUGACGGCCUUCGGGUUGUAAACCUCUUUCAGCACAGACGAAGCGCAAGUGACGGUAUGUGCAGAAGAAGGACCGGCCAACUACGUGCCAGCAGCCGCGGUAA
rnacentral:rRNA from 1 species